rnacentral:lncRNA from 1 species
GAUCUAGCUUGGUCUAGGUUGGUCUAGGUUGGUCUAGGUUAGUCUAGGUUAGUCUAGGUUGGUCUAGGUUAGUCUAGGUUGGUCUAGGUUGGUCUAGGUUAGUCUAGGUUGGUCUAGGUUAGUCUAGGUUGGUCUAGGUUGGUCUAGCUUGAUUAUGUUGGUCUAGGUUGGUCUAGGUUGGUCUAGGUUGGUCUAGGUUGGUCUAGGUUAGUCUAGGUUGGUCUAGGUUGGUCUAGGUUAGUCUAGGUUGGUCUGGGUUGGUCUAGGUUGGUCUGGGUUGGUCUAGGUUGGUCUAGGUUGGUCUAGGUUGGUCUGGGUUGGUCUAGGUUGGUCUAGGUUGGUCUAGGUUGAUUAUGCUGGUCUAGGUUGGUCUAGUUUGGUCUAGGUUCGUCUAGGUUGAUUAUGUUGAUCUAUGUUGGUCUAGGUUGGUCUAGGUUGAUCUAGGUUAGUCUAGGUUGGUCUAGGUUGGUCUAGGUUGGUCUAGGUUGGUCUGGGUUGGUCUAGGUUGGUCUAGGUUGGUCUAGGUUGAUUAUGUUGGUCUAGGUUGGUUAUGUUGAUCUAGGUUGGUCUAGGUUGAUUAUGUUGGUCUAGGUUGGUCUAGGUUGGUCUAGGUUAGUCUAGGUUGGUCUAGGUUGAUCUAGGUUGGUCUAGGUUGGUCUAGGUUUAUCUAGGUUGAUUAUGUUGGUCUAGGUUGGUCUAGGUUAGUCUAGGUUGGUCUAGGUUGAUUAUGUUGAUCUAGGUUGGUCUAGGUUGGUUAUGUUGGUCUAGGUUGGUCUAGGUUGGUCUAGGUUGAUCUAGGUUGAUUAUGUUGGUCUAGGUUGGUCUAGGUUGGUCUAGGUUAGUCUAGGUUGGUCUAGGUUGGUCUAGGUUGGUCUGGGUUGGUCUAGGUUGGUUAUGUUGGUCUAGGUUGGUCUAGGUUGAUCUAGGCUUGUCUAGGUUGGUCUAGGUUGGUUAUGUUGGUCUAGGUUGGUCUAGGUUGAUUAUGCUGGUCUAGGUUGGUCUAGUUUGGUCUAGGUUCGUCUAGGUUGAUUAUGUUGAUCUAUGUUGGUCUAGGUUGGUCUAGGUUGAUCUAGGUUAGUCUAGGUUGGUCUAGGUUGGUCUAGGUUGGUCUGGGUUGGUCUAGGUUGGUCUAGGUUGGUCUAGGUUGAUUAUGUUGGUCUAGGUUGGUUAUGUUGAUCUAGGUUGGUCUAGGUUGAUUAUGUUGGUCUAGGUUGGUCUAGGUUGGUCUAGGCUUGUCUAGGUUGGUCUAGGUUGGUUAUGUUGAUCUAGGUUGGUCUAGGUUGGUCUAGGUUGGUCUAGGUUGAUCUAGGUUGAUCUAGGUUUGUCUCGGUUGGUCUAUGUUGAUUUAUGUUGAUGGUGUGCUAAAUGCAGCGAGGGGAAAAGGGGAAGCUGUGUGUUGACUCAUUUGAAUUGCUAGCCUGGGGCAUCAUGCAGCCUGACGCAGCCUGGACACAGAAACAUAAUGAGGAAAGGUCAGUGUGUCUCCGCCUGUGUCCCAAUGGGCCCUGGUCAAAAGCAGUGCACGUCAUAGACAAUACAAUGCCAUUUGGGAUGCACCUCACUUUCUCAUCUCUUCAACAACAUAAAUAACAUGAGUAUGUCUACUUCUG